rnacentral:lncRNA from 1 species
ACAAAUCAAGUGUCGGGAAUUCCGUGGCGCUAGUAAGUCUCUUGUUCUUCUUGUUGUUGCUCAUUUUUGUGUCGUUCCAGCUCGUGUGGGAGGUUAUUUUAAAGGGUUUACGUUCUGUAAAUACUCCCUCAUGUUCUUAAUAUCAAUCCUAGGUGAUUUCAAGCCUUCUAAAGUGGUUCUAGUGCCGAAAAACACUAAUUGAUCGCUAGUUUCGCUUUUUUGUUGUUGUGGCAGCAUUGGAGGGAUAUUUCAUGGAAAUUUAAGGUCAAAUUGGAGUUGUUCUUUCUGUAUAAAGACUAAGGAGUUUUGACAAUUGCAUAGCUUGAGAUUGGGGCAGUAUAUACAAGGUAUGUAAGGCUAUCCCUUUCCUUCUUUUGCACGACUCCGAUUGUACAUAAUGUAAUGAACGAGCUUCCAA